rnacentral:lncRNA from 1 species
GAAUCAAACCCAGUGCCUCACACAUGCUAGGCAAGUGCUGUACCACUGAGCCACAACCCCAGUCCCCAUUCAAAUUAUUAAUUCAUUAAAUGGAUUAAUCUACUGAUGAGGUCUGAUUCCUCAUAAUCCAAUCUUUUCACCUCUGAACAUUGCUGCAUUGACUAAUAUAUGAGCUUUUCAGUGGAUGUUCCAGAUCCAAACCACAGCAAUUAAUAUUCCAUUAAGUUGGCAUAUUCUGUUGCGAGGAGAGUUGAGAGAUAAUUUUUCCCUGUUCAUGGACAUUUAAGUAGUUUAGAAUUUUUACAGUUAUGUUAAGGAACAGUGUAGUACAGUUUUCCUAGAUCAUAAGCCUUUCCCCAAAAAGGAAUUUGAAGGAGUUUUGUUAUUAUUUUUUUUUCUAAUAUUUGAGGAACACUAAAUUGAAAAAGCACUUUUGAUAUGUGGUACUUUGUAUAUAGACUAUAAAAAUACAGCAUGAUGUAACAUGAUCUAACUAAUCAGAGAUCCACACAAUAAAGCUAGAUAUCUUUUACCCAUGCUGGAGUUACACUGCAGAUGUGUUUACUUCCUGAUCUACAUUUUUUAAAUCCAUUACAUUAAUUUAUUUUAUUGAAGUAAUAAUGUAUUUAUUUUUUAAAGCUAUAAUACAAGAAGACUUGCUAGGUACUUUUAUUGCAUUUAGAUCUCAAACCAACCUUAAAAAGUAGUGCUUGGUUUCAUGUGCAUUGCUAAGAAUCAGGAUUAUAGAAUUUCAGAAAACUGCUAAAAUUCACACUGGAGACUGAAGAUUCAACUGAUUCAGAAAGUCUCCUAAAGUUUUUGCUUGGAUAAGAGAGCAGGGAAGGGAAAAGAAUUCUCUGUGUAAAGGAUUUAGGUGCUGGGACACAGAACUAAACCAGUCAGGGUCAUUCCUGGUGAACUGGGAUGGCAUGAAAUAAUCACACAGAGACAGAGAAAUACCUUUUUCUUUGGGUUCUGUGAUGGCUCCUCUGACCCAGGUCCUGCAAAGGAGGCAAAGCAGGCAAGAAAGAGAAAGACCAUGCCUUGAACCUGGUUUUUUUGGGGGAGAAGCCAUUCAAAUGAGGCAAGGGGUAGGAUUACAAGGGAACAGGUGAGUGUAAUUCAACCCCACCAGGUGACACCUACUCCUGGAGCCAUGCCUCAUUAUCUGAGCGGAGGUAAAUGUUAAUGUGGGGAGCAAUAAUUGUUCAGUAUCUCUUGCUCAGGGCUUAAGGACGUGUAUUUCCAGAGCAGCUCCCAACACUUAGGCCUUUCUUUGUGGGUACCAAAGUUGUCCUGGUGGGUUGAAGAUACUACAGAUCAUACUGCCCCUUCUCAGUUCACGCUUCAGUGACCCAUUGUCUAUAUUAUUGACAUAAUUCAUAGUUCUGCACAUUCAGGCACAACUCUGGGGAUGAACAGUGUUCAGAUGAAAAGUUAAAACAGUGUUUAAUUCUUAUCAAGAAAAUUCUUAAUCAUGAGUAAUUCUAUUUCCUAGGCAACAUCUUGAAACAGUUUUGUCACAGUUGAGGGUGCUAGUGGAUAAAAUCUAGGGAUGCUGCUAAACAUCUUAUAGUGCACCAGACAGCCCCCCAUAGCCAAGAAGUGUCUGGCCCAAAAUAUCAGUUGUGCUAAAGUUGCGAAAUACUGCCGUUACACAAAGCUAUAUAAGAAUAAUAGCAAAAUAUGGGUGGAAAUGUCCAAUAUGUACACAUACAUACAUAUACCCAAAAACAAAAGUUUAAAAUAUUUAGUAGAAAUUUAACAGAGACAUAAGGUAAAACUCUAAAUGGGAUAUAAGAAAAAGGAUAAUAAUAAGCAAGGUACCAAAGAAAAAAUUAAAAAGGCCAGUAAAUAUAUGAAAAUAGGAUCUCAUUAAUCAUCAAAUAAGUGCAAGUAACCAAAAC